ACGAACGCUGGCGGCGUGCUUAACACAUGCCAGUCGAACGCUGAAGACCUGGCUUUUGUUGGGUUGGAUGAGUGGCGAACGGGUGAGUAACACGUGAGUAACCUGCCCUCUUCUUUGGGAUAACGCCCGGAAACGGGUGCUAAUACUGGAUAUUCACUGAUCUUCGCAUGGGGGUUGGUGGAAAGGUUUGUUCUGGUGGGGGAUGGGCUCGCGGCCUAUCAGCUUGUUGGUGGGGUGAUGGCCUACCAAGGCUUUGACGGGUAGCCGGCCUGAGAGGGUGACCGGUCACAUUGGGACUGAGAUACGGCCCAGACUCCUACGGGAGGCAGCAGUGGGGAAUAUUGCACAAUGGGCGAAAGCCUGAUGCAGCGACGCCGCGUGAGGGAUGGAGGCCUUCGGGUUGUAAACCUCUUUCGCUCAUGGUCAAGCCGCAACUGUGGGUUGUGGUGAGGGUAGUGGGUAAAGAAGCGCCGGCUAACUACGUG
rnacentral:rRNA from 1 species